AUUGAACGCUGGCGGCAUGCCUUACACAUGCAAGUCGAACGGCAGCGCGGACUUCGGUCUGGCGGCGAGUGGCGAACGGGUGAGUAAUACAUCGGAACGUACCCUGUUGUGGGGGAUAACUAGUCGAAAGAUUAGCUAAUACCGCAUACGACCUGAGGGUGAAAGUGGGGGACCGCAAGGCCUCACGCAGCAGGAGCGGCCGAUGUCUGAUUAGCUAGUUGGUGGGGUAAAGGCCCACCAAGGCGACGAUCAGUAGCUGGGCUGAGAGGACGAUCAGCCACACUGGGACAGAGACACGGCCCAGACUCCUACGGGAGACAGCAGUGGGGAAUUUUGGACAAUGGGGGCAACCCUGAUCCAGCAAUGCCGCGUGUGUGAAGAAGGCCUUCGGGUUGUAAAGCACUUUUGUCCGGAAAGAAAUCGCGCUGGUUAAUACCUGGCGUGGAUGACGGUACCGGAAGAAUAAGCACCGGCUAACUACGUGCCAGCAGCCGCAGUAA
rnacentral:rRNA from 1 species